ensembl:lncRNA
GGCGUUCGAGCGAGCGAGAGAGAGAGCGCGGCAAUUUUCCCCUGAAGUUCGGUUGUUGGAGACUUAAUAUACGCUGUAUAUAGGCCCACACUAACUUUUUCCCAUUUUUUUUCUUUCAAGUCUAACGGUGUUUGUUAGCGUGAAAGUAGACAUUGUCUGUGUGUUUCGGUUCUGUGAGGAGCUCCAGCUCCAGGCUGUAUCGCUAAACUGGCUGCUUCUCAACGAAGAGGACUGAACUCUCCACGCUGCUGCUGUGUGGAUGGACAAAGAGGACCAGAGUCUUAACAAAGAUCAUCGCAUUUUGUGUGAGACGCGAGUAGGUGCUUGUGGGCGCUUCGGCUCAUCUCCAUAUGAGUCAUGGACUUUCAUGCUGUCCUGCAGCAGGUGUCACUAUGUUCUGCUGUUACAGCUGCUGACAGUCAUAGCUGGCUCUUUUCCUUCAGUAAAGGUGAAUCUUCAUGAUGCUGCUACUCUCCCCUGCACUCAGACAUGUUCUGGUCUGGUCACAUGGACUGUGUCCUAUAAACAACUUGACAUUCUGGCUCAGUGUAACCAGACAUCCUGCCAGUCAGGGGAGGGAUUUCACAUGUCCCAUGAUCAGUACCUGAAGGGAGAUCUCUCCCUCACCAUCACUGAUGCCGAUUACACUAAGAAGACCUGGUACACCUGCAGCUGUAAUGGGAAAGACAUCUGUGAUGUGAGUCUACAGAUAGAGGCCCAGAAUUCCUCAAUUCAGAUUAAGCCUGGUGAACCUCUGGUGCUGGAUUUGCUCAUGUCAGAGUCAGUUGAGGUGAUUUAUAACAGCAAAGGUGCAGCUGCUCCCUCUAGUGGACAGAUCUGUACAGUGGCUGGACACUCACUGAAGUGUAAACCUGAAUACACUCGGAGAGUGUCGCUCAUCUCUGCUGUGGAGCUGCAAGGAACCACACCAUCUGAUAGUGGAGUUUACAGCAUCAGAGACACUAAGAAUGAAGAGAUUAUACAGACAUACACAGAUACUGUGGAAGAUGUCCAGCCAUGUCCAGAUCAGAGCUCCACAGUGACGGUGUUGACGGUGCUCCUGGCUCUGACGGGGGCGGGGCUUGUGGCAGCAGUGCUGGUGAUUGUGCAGCUGAGGAAAAAAAUUCAGGAGCUCUAGAAAGGAAGUACAGUGAAUGGAACAGUAACCAUGACAACAGAGGAGUUAAUAUGAAUGGACUAAACCACUCAGAUGAAGAGCAGAGGUGAUCUCCCAAUAAUAACCAUGAGAGUCUGAGAGAUGAUAAAUUAUUUCGUUCUCUUUUACACACACACAAACGUAUCUGCACUGCUUUUCUCUGUCCCAUUCAGGGGUCAAAGAUCAGUGUAUGUUCAGUCAUGCAUGAUCAGAGUUUUAUCACAUUAGCUCUGCUGAAGCUCACCUGGUAGAGCAGGUACAGUAAGAUUUGAUCCUCAGAGAGCACACAUGCUGUCAUACUGAUGAAUAUGUAUCAGUCACUAUAAGAGGAUCUGCCCAGUACUGUAAAUGUAAUGUAAAGAUGUUUAUUUAAAUAUUACUGUGAGAUCCUGUGAUGUGAUUUAAUGCACGUUAAAUACUUUUGUGUUAGCUCAUGGAAAAAACGGACAUUUUGUCUGGAGCAUCUUUGAAUAGUUUAAAUAUUUUAGUUGCCAUUUGUCAACAUGUUUUAAUUAAGAGUCCCCCUUAUUGUUCAGGUUAUAAUUUCAAGAGUCUCCCUUAUUGUUCAGGUUAUAAUUUCAAUAGUCUCCCAUGUGGUCUUGGUGAUUAUGGUCAGUUGUUGUGGUUGGUUUUCCCAAUGCUGUAAUGCUGCAUUCAUUUCAAAGCAUUGUAUUAUGGAAACAGGCCUCAUGUCAUUUGGCCUGCUUCAUGCCACUUGUGACAAAUCAUUAAACAAAUUUACUUGUGUUAUCUUUGUCCAAUAUUUAAAACACAAAAUGCAGUUUUUAAAUGAAGGUUUUUAUUAUUAACGAGAAAAUAAAUAGGACCUGCGAGACAAAGUGAAGUAGACCAAAAGAUCCUUAAAACUAGACAGCAUGCUGCGAGCCAAAGAAAUUCAGAAACUCAUCGUCUUACUUUCAGAUAUGUAAUGAGCAUUGAUUUAGGCAGAAAUUCACCAGGACACUUCACAACACAGUUAGUAAUGCUAUAAAAUGUCAUUUAAGAUAUAAUUG